rnacentral:tRNA from 5 species
GGCGGGUUGCCGGAGAGGCCGAUCGGGGCCGACUGUAAAUCGGCUGCAUCACGCCACGCAGGUUCGAAUCCUGCACCCGCCAC